CAUGCUUUAUACAUGCAAGUCGAACGCGAAAGUGUCUUCGGACAUUAGUAGAGUGGCAAACGGGUGAGUAACGCGUGGGAAUAUACCUUAUAGUACGGAAUAGCCUCGGGAAACUGGGAUUAAUACCGUAUACGCCCUGAGGGGGAAAGAUUUAUCGCUAUAAGAUUAGCCCGCGUCAGAUUAGCUAGUUGGUGGGAUAAUGGCCUACCAAGGCAACGAUCUGUAGCUGGUCUGAGAGGAUGAUCAGCCACAUUGGGACUGAGAUACGGCCCAAACUCCUACGGGAGGCAGCAGUAGGGAAUAUUGGACAAUGGACGAAAGUCUGAUCCAGCAAUGCCGCGUGAGUGAUGAAGGCCUUAGGGUUGUAAAGCUCUUUUAGUGGGGAAGAUAAUGACGGUACCCACAGAAAAAGCACCGGCUAACUUCGUGCCAGCCGCCGCCGUAA
rnacentral:rRNA from 1 species